rnacentral:tRNA from 2 species
GCCUCCGUCGCAUAGUGGUUAUUGCACUCGGUUGCUAACCGAGGCCUUCACGGGCUCGCAGGUUCAAUUCCUGCCGGGGGCG